AUACGGAGGGUGCAAGCGUUAUCCGGAUUUAUUGGGUUUAAAGGGUGCGUAGGCGGUUUGAUAGGUCAGCGGUGAAAUAUUUCAGCUUAACUGGAAGGGUGCCGUUGAUACUGUCGAGCUUGAAUUUAGUUGCUGUGGGUGGAAUGUGUGGUGUAGCGGUGAAAUGCAUAGAUAUCACACAGAAUAUCGAUUGCGAAGGCAGCUCACAAAGCUAAUAUUGACGCUGAUGCACGAAAGUGUGGGGAUCAAACAGGAUUAGAUACCCUGGUAGUCCACACUGUAAACGAUGAUAACUCGCUGUCGGCGAUACAUAGUCGGUGGCCAAGCGAAAGCGAUAAGUUAUCCACCUGGGGAGUACGACCGCAAGGUUGAAACUCAAAGGAAUUGACGGGG
rnacentral:rRNA from 1 species